GCUGGCGUAGCUCAGCCGGCAGAGCACCCGCCUUGUAAGCGGAAGGUCGCGGGUUCGACUCCCGCCGCCAGCUCCA
rnacentral:tRNA from 5 species